rnacentral:piRNA from 1 species
UGUGUAAGGACUCCUAGAACUAUUCCU